UACGAGGGGGGCGAGCGUUGUUCGGAAUUAUUGGGCGUAAAGAGCUCGUAGGCGGUUUGUUGCGUCGGCUGUGAAAUCCCGAGGCUCAACCUCGGGUCUGCAGUCGAUACGAGCAAACUAGAGUGUUGCAGGGGAGACUGGAAUUCCUGGUGUAGCGGUGAAAUGCGCAGAUAUCAGGAGGAACACCGGUGGCGAAGGCGG
rnacentral:rRNA from 1 species